UACGUAGGUGGCAAGCGUUGUCCGGAUUUACUGGGCGUAAAGGAUGCGUAGGCGGACAUUUAAGUCAGAUGUGAAAUACCCGGGCUCAACUUGGGUGCUGCAUUUGAAACUGGGUGUCUAGAGUGCAGGAGAGGAAAGCGGAAUUCCUAGUGUAGCGGUGAAAUGCGUAGAGAUUAGGAAGAACACCAGUGGCGAAGGCGGCUUUCUGGACUGUAACUGACGCUGAGGCAUGAAAGCGUGGGGAGCAAACAGGAUUAGAUACCCGGGUAGU
rnacentral:rRNA from 1 species